rnacentral:rRNA from 1 species
UACGGGGGGAGCAAGCGUUGUUCGGAUUUACUGGGCGUAAAGGGCGCGUAGGCGGUCAGUGCGAGUCAGUUGUGAAAUCUCCGGGCUUAACUCGGAAAGGUCAACUGAUACUGCUCGACUAGAGUGCGGAAGGGGCAACUGGAAUUCUUGGUGUAGCGGUGAAAUGCGUAGAUAUCAAGAGGAACACCUGCGGCGAAGGCGGGUUGCUGGGCCGACACUGACGCUGAAGCGCGAAAGCUAGGGGAGCGAACGGG